rnacentral:rRNA from 1 species
AGUGAACGCUGGCGGCGUGCCUAAUACAUGCAAGUCGAACGGAGUGGCGCACGGGUGAGUAAUAUAUAGCUAAUCUGCCCCUUGCUGGAGGACAACAGUUAGAAAUGACUGCUAAUACUCCAUAGCAAGGGAUGAGACUAUAUCGUAUCAGCUAGUUGGUGAGGUAACGGCUCACCAAGGCCACGAUGCAUAGCCGACCUGAGAGGGUGAUCGGCCACACUGGGACUGAGACACGGCCCAGACUCCUACGGGAGGCAGCAGUAGGGAAUCUUCGGCAAUGGACGAAAGUCUGACCGAGCAACGCCGCGUGGAGGAUGACACUUUUCGGAGCGUAAACUCCUUUUGUUAGGGAAGCGGUACCUAACGAAUAAGCACCGGCUAACUCCGUGCCAGCAGCCGCGGUAAUAC